UGACAGAUAAAUACUAAGCUUUAACUGGGCAUGGAUGUGGAUGCAUGCUGCACAUUUUGUGAUGCACGUUGCCCAUAUUUGAUGCACAUGCAUCUUAAGACCAGUGGUGUCAAUCUCGAGGCAGGCUAAUCGAUAUAUCUGGCCCUAAGAACUGCAACACUCACUGGUCUGGCCAAUGGAGCCAAACCACUUCCAUAUAGUGAUGUAUAAUUGCGAUACCCAAGGAGGAGGGAAAAAAUGGAGUGAUGUGUUUGCUAUGAUAUGCUGAUGAAUUUUAGGGUUCACAAUUUAUAAUCCAUCAGGCAACCCGUUCUGCUCUGUGCAGGUUAUUUAUGGCAUAAUUGUGUUUGGGUUGUAAAUAUGUCAACCCUCCUAAAUUUGUUUAUUAAAAGGAUUGGGUUCACUUUUAGACUUUUGGACCAUUUAAUCCAUUGGGUGUGCUUGGUGGGAGGAA
rnacentral:lncRNA from 1 species